GGGUUCAUGGCCUAAUGGUAAGGCGUCAGAUUUCGGUCCUUUCCGGUCCUCUGAAGAUUGCAGGUUCGAUCCCUGCUGAGCUCG